rnacentral:lncRNA from 1 species
UUUACAGGUGUGUAUCUCAAGAUCACUCCACAACAAAGAUUCUGCCUGCAGUCCUCCACUUCAAGGGAUCAUGGCCCAAGUUUUAGUGUCUACCCUGUCCAUUGAAGAUGAGGACUCCUAUGAGAGCAGGAUGGUGGUGACGUUCCUCAUGUCAGCUCUUGAGUCCACGAAUUUUCCUGGCUAAUACUACAAUGCUGAAUAGAGUGGUUAAAGUGGAAAUUCUUGUCUCUCAAACUUUCAGAUCAUGGCCCAAGUAACAGUGUCCACCCUGGCCGUUGAAGAUGAGGAGUCCUCAGCAGGAUGGUAGUGACAUUCCUCAUGUCAGCUCUUGAGUCCAUGGAUUGUUUUAGAGUGUGGAUACUGAAGCAAGAAUGUACCCUCAUUUACCACAAGGGAAAGCUUUACAAAAACCCACAGAGGUACCUGUACCAUAUGAG